rnacentral:lncRNA from 1 species
GUGCUGUAAUAAUUCACUAUGGUUAAUUGAUAAAGCAUCUUUUUAGACGUUAUCAUAUAAACCACUUAAAAAUUGGUUAGAUCAUUGUGUAUUAAUUUGUUAUGGUCACACAUGUUUCUUAUCUGCGGUAUUUCUUCAUUAAUAAAUCCUAGGAAUACAUGCUGUGAGUGACAUCUAUUCUGACCCAGAGAAAAGAAUUUGUUUGUUUUAAAUGUGUAGCAAGGUCAAGAAUGCCAUGUGUUGUAAAUCUUUGACUUUUAAUUAUAUCAACACAUAAAGCAUGCAAAAGAACUAGUAUGCGAUCACAUUUGUGAACUUCAAUUGAUUACUUUUAUUUGCCAGACGAAUAAAUUCUUUAAUUCUAUCCAAAGUUCCAUGAUAUUUUAUGACUCCACCCUCCCAAUAUCUGCAAUAAUUCUUUGCCAAAGUAUUACCGCUUUUCAACGCUUUAAAUUACCAAAUCAUUGUUAAUUAAAACACACAUACUCCCCCGUUUUCAAGUCUUUACAUACUAGUUUGCCUCAACCAAUAAAUGUACAAAUAUAUCUUAAGGUCAACUUUGUUGUUCCUCCGAGAUUUAAAAACAUUGUGUGUAUUUUAUCUAAUGGAAUAUAACAACUACGUGUAUAAUUAUACAUUAUAUCUGAGCUGCCUAAAUCACUUUACUCAUAAAAUUACAGCUACAG